rnacentral:rRNA from 1 species
AUGAUGGGUUUAUGGUUUAGAACUGUUUCAUUUAUAUAAUAAAGAAUUUUUUUAAUAGGUGAAAAUACCUAUAGAAAAAUAUUAGACGAGAAGACCCUUAGAGUUUUAAUAAAAAUUUUUACAUUUAAAAUUAUGUUUUUGUUGGGGCGACAGUUUAUCAGUAAAUAAAAUUUAAUAACAUAAACUAAGUAAACUAAACAUAUAACUUAAGGUUGGUUAAGAAGAAUAUAACUACCUGAGGGAUAACAGCAUAAU